AGUGAACGCUGGCGGCAGGCCUAACACAUGCAAGUCGAACGGCAGCACAGUAAGAUCUUGCUAUUACGGGUGGCGAGUGGCGGACGGGUGAGGCAUACAUCAGAUUCUUCUAUUUCGUGGAGGAUAUCGUAGGCGAACGUACACUACCACCGCAUACAACCUACGGUUGAAAGCAGGCGAUCUGCGGGCUUUUCGCGAUUGAAUGAGCGGAUGGCUGUUUAGCUAGUGGGCGGGGUAAAGGCCCACCUAGGCGACGAUCCGUAGCUGGUCUGGGAGGAUGAUCAGCCACAUCGGAACCAAGCCACGGUCCAGACUCCUAAGGGAGGCAGCAGUGGGGAAUAGUGGACAAUGGGCGCAAGCAUGACCCAGCCAACCCGCGUGGGUCAAGAAGGCCUUCGGAUUGUAAAGCUCUUUUGUUGGGAAAGAAGAGCAGUGGGUUAAUACCCUCCUGUCCUGACGGUACCCAAACAAUAAGCCCCGGCUAACUUCGUG
rnacentral:rRNA from 1 species